rnacentral:rRNA from 1 species
GACGAACGCUGGCGGCGUGCUUAACACAUGCAAGUCGAGCGGAAAGGCCCUUCGGGGUACUCGAGCGGCGAACGGGUGAGUAACACGUGAGUAACCUGCCCUAGGCUUUGGGAUAACCCCGGGAAACCGGGGCUAAUACCGGAUAUGACCUGGUGCCGCAUGGUGUUGGGUGGAAAGUUUUUUCGGCCUGGGAUGGGCUCGCGGCCUAUCAGCUUGUUGGUGGGGUGAUGGCCUACCAAGGCGAUGACGGGUAGCCGGCCUGAGAGGGCGACCGGCCACACUGGGACUGAGACACGGCCCAGACUCCUACGGGAGGCAGCAGUGGGGAAUAUUGCACAAUGGGCGGAAGCCUGAUGCAGCGACGCCGUGUGAGGGAUGAAGGCCUUCGGGUUGUAAACCCCUUUCAGCAGGGACGAAGCGUGAGUGACGGUACCUGCAGAAGAAGCGCCGGCCAACUACGUG